UGCAGGUCGGCUGUCAAGCCCCUCCACAAAACCCCCAAACUGCAGGGGCUGCUGCCACAGGAACAUCACAUCCUGCUCAGAGACCUGGUCGCAGGGCUGGGAAAAAGAAACUUUCUCCUACACUGGGGUCAUGUGGAGCACAGAGACCUCGACACAGGGAGCAGGAGCAUCACCCUGGGGAGGCCUGGUGAGAUAAAGGUUUUCCUCCCCUCGCAGGGAAGGAGCUGUCUCUAGCAGCCACAUGGUGGAGUAGCCAGACAGGAGAAGCAAUUAGAGGUUUGCACUGCAUCCUUCUGCUGGAGGCAUUUCCAAAUCCUCACUGUUGCUCUUCAUUUUCAACACCAAACACUGAGCAGAGCCAUCAUCAUCAUCAUCAUCAGCAGCAGCAGCAGCAGCAGCAGCAUCAUCAUCAUCAUCAUCAUCACCAUCAUCAGGCCUUCAGUCUGAUGUGAGCUCUGGGCAGGCUGGCCCUGCUGCUGAGCCAGGGUGCCCCAGAAAAUCGAUUUAUCAGUGUCACUUCUGAUUGUGUCCUUGCCCCAGAGCCUUUGCUCCAGCACCAGAAGGGGUGAGAGUGUGUCAGAACCCAUCCCUGGUGAGCUCAGGGAAGUGUUAACAUCCUUUUUUUUUUUGCUGUGAGCAGGAUUCAGAGCUGGCAGCCGCAGUCAGGAGCGGCUUUGGCUGCUCCCCUGCAUCCUCCUGCAUCCUCCUGCAUCCUCCUGCCCUCUGCCCGCGGAGGUGACACCGCGGCUCCCCACGAGGUGGCAAUGUCUCCUGCAGGAGCUGCUGCCUCUGCUCGCAGCCUGGCAGAGGAUGCUCGGGGCAGCAGGAGGAGCAGGGCAGCCCAGAGCCGCCUGGGCUCUCACUGCUCUGCGGUGCAAGGCGUCUGGGGGUGCUCCUGUGUGGGGGUUUGCUGUUUUGUCUCUGCUCCCAUAUGGGUGAGGUGGUUCUGGGCAGCCCAAGCUUCAAAGGACCAGUCUGGACUCUCGAGUUUUCGGUCUUCGAUUUUGUUUAUUAUUUCUUAUCUACAAAGUUUUCUGUCUGCCCAGCCGAGAUCUGGUCAGCAAGGCAGCCCAGUGCACUCUCUGACUGCCCACGGGGCUGUGUCUUUUAUAGUAAAAAUACAUAUAACAUAUUUACCUUUUAUUCCCAAUACCUUUCAUCUUUAUUAACAAGUGCACCUUCACCAUGAACCAGUCUACAAGUGCCAGCAUCAUCCUGGACAUGGAUGCAGGGAGGAGAAAGAAGGACAGGGCACGCCCAAAUCCCUCCAUCUGGGGACUCCUGACCCCAUGUACAGGAUUCCAAACCCCCCUGUACAAGGUUCAAAACCCCCCUGUACCAUGCUCCAAAA